rnacentral:rRNA from 1 species
AUUAACGCUGGCGGCGUGCAUAACACAUGCAAGUCGAACGAUGAAACUCAUUAGAUUUCUUCGGAAUGAAAAUGAAUGGAUUAGUGGCGAACGGGUGAGUAACGCGUGAGUAACCUGCCUUACACAAGGGGAUAGCCUCUGGAAACGGAGAAUAAUACCCUAUGAAACCAGACAAUCGCAUGAUAAUCUGGUCAAAAUGUUUAGUGGUGUAAGAUGGACUUGCGUCUGAUUAGCUAGUUGGUGAGAUAAAAGCUCACCAAGGCAACGAUCAGUAGCCGGCUUGAGAGAGUGUACGGCCACAUUGGGACUGAGACACGGCCCAGACUCCUACGGGAGGCAGCAGUGGGGAAUUUUGCACAAUGGGGGAAACCCUGAUGCAGCGACGCCGCGUGAUUUAGAAGGCCUUCGGGUUGUAAAAAUCUUUUGUAUAGGAAGAAAAUGACAGUACUAUACGAAUAAGGUCCGGCUAAUUACGUG